AAUUUUAUAGUUUAUUUAGAAUAGUAAAUUGCAAAUUUAUAGGAACUGGUUGUUAAAAUUU
rnacentral:tRNA from 1 species